rnacentral:rRNA from 1 species
CGCGCAGGCGGUCGUUCAAGUCGAAUGUGAAAGCCCCCGGCUCAACUGGGGAGGGUCAUUCGAUACUGAUCGACUCGAAGGCGGGAGAGGGAAGCGGAAUUCCCGGUGUAGUGGUGAAAUGCGUAGAUAUCGGGAGGAACACCAGUGGCGAAGGCGGCUUCCUGGCCCGUUCUUGACGCUGAGGCGCGAAAGCUAGGGGAGCAAAACGGGAUUAGAUACCCCGGUAGUCCUAGCUGUAAACGAUGGAUACUAGGUGUUGGUGGUAUCAACCCUGCCAGUGCCGUAGCUAACGCAUUAAGUAUCCCGCCUGGGGAGUACGGCCGCAAGGCUAAAA